rnacentral:rRNA from 1 species
AGUAUGUACGUUCGGUCGUAUUGCUCUGGGCAUCAGGUAUGCAGAGGGGUUGAUCCUGGCUCAGAUUGAACGCUGGCGGGAUGCUUUACAUGCAAGUCGAACGGCAGCACGGACUUCGGUCUGGUGGCGAGUGGCGAACGGGUGAGUAAUGUAUCGGAACGCGUGCCUUUUGCCUAGUAGCGGGGGAUAACUACGCGAAAGCGUAGCUAAUACCGCAUACGCCCUUCGGGGGAAAGCGGGGGACCUUCGGGCCUGCUAUUGGAAGCGGCCGAUAUCGGAUUAGCUAGUUGGUGGAGUAACGGCUCACCAAAGGGCGACGAUCCGUAGCUGGUUUGAGAGGACGACCGGCCACACUGGGACUGGUACAGCCCAGACUCCCUGCAGGGAGGCAGCAGUGGGAAUUUGGACAAUGAAGCCUGAUCAGCCAUCCCGCGUGUGCGAUGAGGCCUUCGGGUUGUAAUACACUGGCAGGAAAGAAACGGCACGGGAUAAUACCCCGUGCAACUGACGGUACCUGCAGAAUAAGCACCGGCUAACUACGUGCCAGCAGCCGCGGUAUUACAUGGGUGCAAGCGUUAAUCGGAAUUACUGAGUAAAGCGUGCGCAGGCGGUUCGGAAGAAAGAUGUGAAAUCCCAGAGCUUAACUUUGGAACUGCAUUUUUUAACUACCGGCUAGAGUGUGUCAGAGGGAGGUGGAAUUCACGCUCAACGGUGAAAUGCGUAGAUAUGCGGAGGAACACCGAUGUGAAAAUGACCUCUGGAAUGUACUGACAUGCUGCGGCGUGGCAGGAGCAAACAGGAUUAGAUACCCUGGUAGUCCACGCCUAAACGAUGUCAACUAGCUGUUGGGCCUUCAGGCCUUGGUAGCGCAACUAACGCGUGAAGUUGACCGCCUGGGAAAUGCAGUCGCAAGAUUAAAACUCGAAUGGCGGGGACCGCACAAGCAGUGGAUGAUGUGGAUUAAUUCGAUGCAACGCGAAAAACCUUACCUACCCUUGACAUGUCUAGAAUCGAAGAGAUUUGGGAGUGCUCGCAAGAGAACCGGAGCACAGGUGCUGCAUGGCUGUCGUCAGCUCGUGUCGUGAGAUGUUGGGUUAGUCCGCAACAGGCGCAACCCUUGUCAUUAGUUGCUACGAAAGGCACUCUAGUAGUUCUGAUGGCUCAAGCCGGAGGAAGGUGGGGAUGACGUCAAGUCCUCAUGGCCCGCUAUGGACGAGCUGCCCACGUCAUACAAUGGUCGGGACGGGUCGCCAACCCCGCGAGAGGCCAAUCCCGAAACCCGAUCGUAGUCCGGAUCGCAGUCUGCAACUCUGACUGCCUUCGUGAUGGAAUCUUCGUAAUCGCGGAUCAACAUGUCGCGGUGAAUACGUUCCCGGGUCUUGUACACACCGCCCGUCACACCAUUGGGAGUGGGUUUUACCAGAAGUAGUUAGCCUAACCGUAAGGGCGAUUACCGGUAGGAUUCGCUGGGAAUUGAAGUCGUAACAAGGUAA